UUCUCUUCGGAGAGCGAGUACAGCGGCGAACUGGUGAGUAACAGGUGGAUAACGUGCCCUGAAGUGGGGGACAACCCGGGGAAACUCGGGCUAAUACCGCAUAUUGUCAUGACGACUCUGGUCAGAUUGAUGAAAGACUUCGGUCGCUUCAGGAUCGGUCCGCCCCUGAUUAGCUUGAUGGUGAGGUAACGGCUCACCAUGGCGACAAUCAGUAGCUGGUCUGAGAGGAUGGUCAGCCACACUGGGACUGAGAUACGGCCCAGACUCCUACGGGGGGCAGCAGUCUAGAGGCUUCGGCAAUGGACGAAAGUCUGACCGAGCGACGCCGCGUGCGGGAUUGAAGGCCUUCGGGUCGUAAACCGCUGUCAGGUGGGAAGAAUGCCCAUAUGGUGAAUAUGGGAGUGACGGUACCACCAGAGGAAGCCCCGGCUAACUCCGUGCCAGCAGCCGCGGUAAUACGGAGGGGGCGAGCGUUAUUCGGAUUUACUGGGCGUAAAGGGUGCGUAGGCGGUUGUGCAAGACUGGUGUGAAAUCUUCACCGCUCAACGGGAAGAGGCCGCUGGAAACUGCACAACUUGAGUAUGGUAGAGGCAAUCGGAAUUCCUGGUGUAGCGGUGGAAUGUGUAGAUAUCAGGAAGAACAUCUGUGGCGAAGGCGGAUUGCUGGGCCAUUACUGACGCUGAGGCACGAAAGCAUGGGUAGCGAACGGGAUUAGAUACCCCGGUAGUCCAUGCCGUAAACGGUGCAUACUAGGUGUAGCGGGUAUCGACCCCUGCUGUGCC
rnacentral:rRNA from 1 species